GACGAACGCUGGCGGCGUGCCUAAUACAUGCAAGUAGAACGCAGUUGCGAACGCGUGAGUAACGCGUAGGUAACCUGCCUCAUAGCAGGGGAAAACUAUUGGAAACGAUAGCUAAUACCGCAUACUGUGAGAUGGACCUGCGUUGCAUUAGUUAGUUGGUGGGGUAAAGGCUCACCAAGGCGACGAUACAUAGCGGGCCUGAGAGGGUGACCAGCCACACUGGGACUGAGACACGGCCCAGACUCCUACGGGAGGCAGCAGUGGGGAAUUGUGGACAAUGGGGGAAACCCUGAUCCAGCCAUCCCGCGUGGGCGAUGAAGGCCUGCGGGUUGUAAAGCACUUUUGGCAGGAAGGCGGUACCUGCAGAAUAAGCACCGGCUAACUCCGUGCCAGCAGCCGCGGUAAUAC
rnacentral:rRNA from 1 species